rnacentral:rRNA from 1 species
UACGGAGGGUGCAAGCGUUAUCCGGAUUCACUGGGUCUAAAGGGUGCGUAGGCGGGUUGGUAAGUCCGUGGUGAAAUCCCCAAGCUUAACUUGGGAACUGCCGUGGAUACUAUCAAUCUUGAAUAUCGUGGAGGUAAGCGGAAUAUGUCAUGUAGCGGUGAAAUGCUUAGAUAUGACAUAGAACACCAAUUGCGUAGGCAGCUUACUACACGAUCAUUGACGCUGAGGCACGAAAGCGUGGGGAGCAAACAGG